UACGUAGGGUCCGAGCGUUGUCCGGAAUUACUGGGCGUAAAGAGCUCGUAGGUGGUUUGUCGCGUUGUUCGUGAAAACUCACAGCUUAACUGUGGGCGUGCGGGCGAUACGGGCAGACUUGAGUACUGCAGGGGAGACUGGAAUUCCUGGUGUAGCGGUGGAAUGCGCAGAUAUCAGGAGGAACACCGGUGGCGAAGGCGGGUCUCUGGGCAACACUGACGCUGAGGAGCGAAAGCGUGGGGAGCGAACAGG
rnacentral:rRNA from 1 species